rnacentral:rRNA from 1 species
AUUGAACGCUGGCGGCAGGCCUAACACAUGCAGGUCGAGCGGAUGAGAGGAGCUUGCUUCUCGAUUCAGCGGCGGACGGGUGAGUAAUGCCUAGGAAUCUGCCUGGUAGUGGGGGACAACGUCUCGAAAGGAACGCUAAUACCGCAUACGUCCUACGGGAGAAAGCAGGGGACCUUCGGGCCUUGCGCUAUCAGAUGAGCCUAGGUCGGAUUAGCUAGUUGGUGAGGUAAUGGCUCACCAAGGCGACGAUCCGUAACUGGUCUGAGAGGAUGAUCAGUCACAGUGGAGCUGAGACACGGUCCAGACGGCUACGGAAGGCAGCAGUGGAGAAUAUUGGACAAUGGGCGAAAGCCUGAUCCAUCCAUGCCGCGGGUGGGAAGAAAGUCUUCGGAUUGUAAAGCACUUUAAGUUGGGAGGAAGGGCAGUAAGUUAAUACCUUGCUGUUUUGACGUUACCGACAGAAUAAGCACCGGCUAACUCUGUGCCAGCCGCCGCAGUAAAAC